AUUGAACGCUGGCGGCAGGCCUAACACAUGCAAGUCGAGCGGCAGCGGGAAGUAGCUUGCUACUUUGCCGGCGAGCGGCGGACGGGUGAGUAAUGUCUGGGAAACUGCCUGAUGGAGGGGGAUAACUACUGGAAACGGUAGCUAAUACCGCAUAACGUCGCAAGACCAAAGAGGGGGACCUUCGGGCCUCUUGCCAUCAGAUGUGCCCAGAUGGGAUUAGCUAGUAGGUGGGGUAACGACUCACCUAGGCGACGAUCCCUAGCUGGUCUGAGAGGAUGACCAGCCACACUGGAACUGAGACACGGUCCAGACUCCUACGGGAGGCAGCAGUGGGGAAUAUUGCACAAUGGGCGCAAGCCUGAUGCAGCCAUGCCGCGUGUAUGAAGAAGGCCUUCGGGUUGUAAAGUACUUUCAGCGGGGAGGAAGGUGUUGAGGUUAAUAACCUCAGCAAUUGACGUUACCCGCAGAAGAAGCACCGGCUAACUCCGUGCCAGCCGCCGCGGUAACAC
rnacentral:rRNA from 1 species